rnacentral:rRNA from 1 species
GACGAACGCUGGCGGCGUGCUUAACACAUGCAAGUCGAACGGAAAGGCCCUGCUUUUGCGGGGUGCUCGAGUGGCGAACGGGUGAGUAACACGUGAGUAACCUGCACUUGACUUUGGGAUAACUUCAGGAAACAGGGGCUAAUACCGGAUAGGAGCUCCUGCUGCAUGGUGGGGGAUGGAAAGUUUCGGCGGUUGGGGAUAGACUCGCGGCUUAUCCGCUUGUUGGUGGGGUAGUGGAUUACCAAGGCUUUGACGGGUAGCCGGCCUGAGAGGGUGACCGGCCACAUUGGGACUGAGAUACGGCGCAGACUCGUACGGGAGGCAACAGUCGGGAAUAUUGCACAAUGGGCGGAAGCCAGAUGCAGCAACGUCGCGUGCGGGAUGACGUCCUUCGGGGUGUAAACCGCUUUCGCCUGUGACGAAGCGUGAGUGACGGUAAUGGGUAAGGAAGCAACGGCUAACUACGUG